UUUUCCCUGAGUUGCAUCAAAUCCUCACCGUCAUCUAGCCACAGCGGCGUCGGCUGAGACCUUCAUCCUGAUUGUUCCUUGGGUGCUGUUUAGUGCCAGCCACUGAAGAGAACCUCCUUGUUUCCACCCACGUGGCCCCAUCUGGUUUCAGGGCCUCCUCUGUGCUAUUUUGGGGUGCGAGGAGAUCAUUUUUCAACGCCUACAGCAUGGCGGGACUGGGAACUCCGCAUCCUCCGCAACACUUUUCGUGCCGCCAUUUCUUCUCAGGGUCUUGCCGCCUUUCUCAAGCUCAGCCUGUGGAGUAAAGCGCAGGCACAUCUCUCAGAGACGAGGUCCAUUAUAUUGCCCAGGCUGGUCUCAAGCUCCUGGGCUCAGGUGAUCCUCCCACCUUGGCCUCCCCAAAUGCUGGAAUUACAGUUAUUGCUUGAUGGAUUCUGCUAACUCCCAGGAGAAUCCAAGUGGGAGGACAAGUAGAAGAAAAAAGAGUCCAAAGGCUGGAGCCCUCAGUUUGUUGUUUAUGGAACAUUCCUGCAGUCCCCAGAAGGGGCAUG